rfam:Bombyx mori DNA, contig: Bm_scaf27_contig17537, strain: p50T/Dazao, build 2, whole genome shotgun sequence.
UUAACUUAAAUUAGUGUAUGGAGUUGGAACAAUUGCCUACGUUUGCCCCUAGGGGCGCUGUUUCAACUCCAUAUAAAUUUUAGUUA